CUGUGCCGAGGUGAGAGCAGAUGAAGACGACCUCAAUGGUCCAACUCAAUGGUUGAUGUCAGUCCAAAUGGAAUCAAGGAAAUAUCGUCAGAAUGACAGCCAAAGAGAUCACACAGGACCACUCCUCAAUCGGGAAAGGCACCAACCAUACAUUAGAGCAGCCAUCCCACUACCUCCCCGCCAAGUCGAAGGGGCGUCCAGGCCACAAACAGGGACUCACCGACACGAAAAAGGUAUGCCUCCACUUUUACAUGCUCACAAUUUUUGUGUUUCUCCUUUAGAAAUAGUUUACGCCCUAGAGAAGCUCGGUCCCAAGGUGAAAUGGCCACAAAAGAUGAAGUCGGACCCAAAUUCCAGAAAGUCUAAUGCCCUCUACGAGUUCUAUCAGGAACAUGGCCACAAGACCGAGGAUUGCAUAGCCCUACAACAAGAAGUAGUGAACAUGCUCCACCAAGGACAUUUAAAGGAGCUGAUGAGUGACCUAGGGAGAGCCAAUUUCGCCCGUGGACUAGAAAAAGAUCAAGGCCCCCCAAAGCCACCCUCUCCCGCCCCCACCAUCCAAAUGAUCAUCGGUAGAGGCGACGAAGGAACAAUCAACCAUGUGAAGUUCACCAACAUACACAAAUUGAAGCGGUUGAUCACCAAUGAACGGUAUGAUGACCUCGAAGACAGUAUCAUCUUUGAUAAGUCAGAUACCCACUAUUUGACCUUUUCUCAUUUCGACGCUCUUGUCAUUGCUUUAGAAUUUCAAUUACUGAUGUAAAAAGAAUCAUGGUAGACAAUGGGAGCGGCGCGUUUAUUAUCCACCCCAGAGUUCUAGCACAAAUGAGACUCGAGGAUAAGAUAGUACCACGCUGCAUAACACUAACAAGUUUUAACAAUGGAGUUGAACGAACGUCCAGAGAGAUAACAUUGCCCGUUCUGGCCAGGGGUGUCACCCUGGACACCAUAUUCCAUGUCAUGAACCAAGACACAACCUACAACGCCAUUAUAGGGUGACACUGGAUACACGCCAUGAGGGCCAUCCCAUCCAAUUUAUAUUAGGUCAAUAAGUUCCCUACCCCAUGGGGAAUAUUCAGCAUCCACGAUGAUUAUCGCACAGCUCAAGAAUGCUACUGCAUCGCCCAAGACUACACAUACACUCAACAGUUAAGAGCGGAGGCCUCAGGAGCACAAGUAUUACCAAGUUGGGGCCCGAGUCCGACGAACAAACAGACAUCGUCAAAGACCCUAGCGUCGAGGAAGCCAUAGGGUCAACAGUAGAAGACCUCGAUCCUGUCCAGCUGGACAAAAGUGACCACAACAAAAAAGCCUACAUUGGCCACAAACUCAUAGAACUAGGUAAAUUCCAUAAAUUGUUAACUAACAACGCCGAUAUGUUUGCUUUCUCCCAUGCACAUAUGCCGGGUAUCCCGAAAGACAUAGCAACACACAAGCUGAAUGUCGAUCCACUCUACCUGCCGGUACGGCAAAUCAAAAAAACGUUCAAUGCUGCAAUCAACGAGACCGUCCAUGAAGAAAUAGAAAAAUUGCUCGCCAACGGUUCCAUUCGAGAGUCAAAGUACCCCCAAUGGGUCGCCAACAUAGUCAUGGUGAAAAAGAAAAAGGGGAAUGGCGCAUGUGUAUAGACUUCACGGACCCAAACAAACCCUACCCAAAAGACUCUAUCCCGUUGCCUCACAUCGAUCAGCUCAUCGACGCAACAGCGGGGCACGAGUUAUUAAGCUUCUUGGAUGCCUACUCAGGAUACAACCAAAUCCUUAUGGAGGAGGAGGACCAGGAAAAGACCACCUUCAUCACCCACCAAGGGACGUAAUGCUAUAGAGUCGAGCCGUUCGGGUUGAAAAAUAUCGGGGCGACCUAUCAGAGGCUGGUCACCAAGAUGUUCAAAGAGCAACUCGGAAAAACGAUGGAAGUCUAUAUAGACGACAUGUUGGUCAAAUCAAAAAGAAAAGAAGACUACAUCGACCACCUGAGAGAAGCCUUCGACAUACUUAGGCGAUAUAGCAUGAAGCUGAACCCUAAAAAGUGCGCCUUUGGCGUGACCUCGGGAAAGUUCCUCAGCUUUUUGGUAUCGCAGAGAGGCGUCAAGGUCAAUCCCAACCAAAUCAAGGCUAUAGAGGGAAUACCUAAAAUUUUGACCAGCAAGAAACAGGUGCAGAAGCUGACCGGCCGUAUAGCCUCCCUGUCAAGGUUCAUCUCACGAUCAUCUGACAGAUGCCAUAAAUUCUUCAACAUACUCAAAAAGGACAACAGACUCUAUUGGAAUUCUGAAUGCAUCAAUGCCCUAAGAGAAUUAAAGGCAUACUUGUCCUCACCCCCGCUACUUGCUGAUAAAUGAGGAUUUUAACCGAUUAUUUGCUCUCUUUUACUUGCGUUUUGGGCCUAAAUGCGUGAAGGCAUUCCCGGAAACUAAUGUAAUACGCUUUCUUGCAGGAAUUGAUCAAAUGAGCCAAAUGAGGCAUAAUCAACUCAUAAAGGAGUCAAAACUGGAACAAAAACAAAAACUGGGCCAAGAGACCUUAAACGCGGUCCGCACAAAUAUUGUGCGGCUGCGGAAGCCACAACGCGGCCGCAAUCACAAAUACACGGUCAGCAAAGUGAAGAAUCAGAGAGUGCAUUUUUAGGACAAAUGUUAAGCGAGGUCCACGCCAGAAAUGUGAGGCUGCGAAAGUUGCACCGCGGCCGCGAUUGGAAUUAUGCGAACUGCAGUUGCUGAAGUUCAAAGAGUUCACAUUUCAAGCAAAAAACAAGGAGUGCGGUCCGUGGUAGAAUUACACAGCCGUGAAAAUCCACUACGCGGCUGCGAUGGAAAUUAUGCGGCCCACGAAACAAACUUCAUCGUAGAUCCAUAAGUUAAAAACACGGACCGCGGUAAGAAUUAUGCGGCUGCAAAACCUCUACAGGGGUAUUUUUGUCCGAAAGUUUUAGCUUAAUAUAAAUAGAUCUUUUUGACAUUUUUAGGUUAGGUUUUGUUUUAGCUGAGCAAGUGAGAUGACUGUAAAUUCUGUUUUGGGCAAUUUUAUACUAGAAUUAUCUCUCAACAUUAGAUUUUUAUCUUUUAAUCUAGUAUUAUGAGUUUUAUCUUUAUUUCAUCUUUGAUAUCUGUUAUUUCCAUGAGUAGCUAAACCUAUAGCUAGGGUUGUGACCCAACCCUAGUGUGGGUAUUUGAUGGCUCUUAAAUUAUAGGACUUGAAUAUGUAUGGGUUAGUGAUAUUUAGCCUAGUUCUUGCUAGAACUAUUGAAUUAAUGGUUGCAAACACUGAUUUAUGCCUUUAUGACUUAGUCCCUACUUGAAAAAAAGGGACUAAGUCUAGGAAAACUAGGCUAACAAGAAAUUGGGGUGAACUCAAGAAAUUGAUAGCCCCAGUUAAAAGGUUAAACCUAGAGAUGGUAACACCUGACUUGAGUUAAAAUCACUUGAAUUGCAUGAAUACACAUUUGGACCUGAGAAAGCCAAAUUGGGCAAAAUCACUCAAACUACCGAGAGGUACAGAGUGAGUACCCCGGGCGUGAUAGUUAUAUUACGACCUCAAUUAACCACAUGAUUGCCCUAGAUUCUUUCUACCCGUUAGAUAUCCACCUAGGUGGAAGUCACUACCCUAGUCCCUUUAAACCCUUGAAAAUCAACAACAAAAAUAUUGUACUUAGUUUCGAAUAUUGCUUGCUAUAGAAUAGAAGUAGAAGUAGAGAACAAACGAAACAUUUAUGGAAGUGUAAUUAGAUUCAAAACCCGCAUCUAGAUUAGAUAUAAACUUAAUUCCAAUUAUUAACUCCUUGUGGAUUCGAUCCCGACCUAGUUGGGUUAAAGCUGCAUCGGUCACCUCUAUACUCAAUAGUAGUGUAGGCUUGGACCCGAUUAAUUUUUGGCGCCGUUGCCGGAGAGUUAAAUGGUUUUAGAUAUAUAUCUGAGUAUUUCUAUGUUUUGUUUUUCUUUCCUUCCAUUUUUCUAAUUUGUGUGUGAAUUGCCCUUAGUACCAAAUGGCACUUAACAAUGAAGCCCUUGGAAAUUUGCCAUUGGGGGAGGAGGUAGAUAAUGAUCACGUGGAUGAGAUUCAACCUGAACCUCAAGCACAAAGGAGAGGUCGGCCACCUCAUGAUAAUAUUCCAAACCCUCCCCUAUCUCCUCCAAGGGCAGCACACAGGGUGUUGCCCAACGAAGGCUAUGCAAGUGCAAUAGUCCCGCCCUGGAUUAGGGCGGGCAGCUUUCAAAUAACCAACGUCAUGCUUACACUCUUUGAACAGAGGGGUUUCUUUACCGGAGCUCCACACCAAAACGCCUACAAGCAUCUCAAAGGUUUUGGUGAUACGUGCUGGGGGAGCAAGCAAACUAACGUCUCUGAGGACGCAUUUAGGUUAAGGCUUUUCUCCUUUUCUCUAAGGGGGAAGGCUUUGGAUUACCUAGAAAGGUUGUCCAACCAUUCCAUCACCACUUGGGAUGAGUUGGCCGAGAGGUUCAUCGCAAAGUUCUUUUCUUCGGGACAUAUGAAAAUGCUAAGAGAUGAGAUCCUUCCUUUUAAACAAGAGCUAAAUGAACUGCUGUAUGAGAUUUGGGAAAGGUAUCGGACGAUGGUUAAAGAAUUUCCAAAUAAUGAUAUGACCGAAACCAUGAUCCAACAAACAUUCUAUUGUGGCAUCAAUACAACAAACCAAUGUAUGGUUAACCAACUCACCGAGGGGAACUUCAUGAACACGCCAUAUGCCGAAGCAUGUAAAAUACUUGAUGAGAUGGCGGAUACCUCUUCGGCAUGGAAAAGUUGAAUUAAUGUGCCACAAGGUGACCCUAAUGUUAUUCACCUACAUAAGGAGCUCCAAGACCAUGGCCAAGCUAUAGCCGAGUCCACUACUACCAUGAACCAAUUGGCCAAAGCUAAAUUGCAGCAAGUUCAAGGGCCAAAACAAGUGAAUGUCAUGGAAGGAGUGAAUAUGAUGCUCAACAAGAGAAGGCAACGAGGUCAACAAGUUCAAAACAAUCUGGAUCAAUUUGAGAAAAGUGGUAGUGGGUACAAUCAAGAUAAUUCAUAUGAUGAUCAAAGUGAAGCUGGAUGCAGGCAGCUACAUCAAAGUUAUUUGUCUUAUCCAGUGCAGUAGCAGCACAGUCAGCCCCAACACAGCUUCAAGUACCUCUAUCAGUGGAGGAUUCAUUGAAGGAGCUUUUGGACAAUCAGAAGAAGCUCCUGGACAACCAGAAGAAGAUCCUGCAGACUUUGGAUACACAUGGAAAGGUUAUCAAGGAUCUGGGCAAGCAAGUGAAGAAGAUGAAGAAGACUCAUGCCUUAAAGGAGUCAGUGGAGCUGCUGAAAAAAGAGGUGGAGAGGUAUACAUCGGCUGGAGACAUCCCACUAAACUUGCUCAUGGAGGAGCAAGCCCCAGUAGCACAGGCAGCAGAGCAUGAGGCACCAGCAGCUGGCUAGUCUAAGGAGUCGGCUGCCACUACACAUAAUGCUGAGGAGAUAAUCCAGAUGCUCCGCAACCCCGUGGUCCCCCAGUCAGAGGAUUUGGAGAUCCAGUUAGAGGACCCGAAAGGAGCUACUGAUCCUAUGCAGUCCGAGGACCCCACUCAUGUGCCUGACCCGAUGCAGACAGAGACCACAUAUGGAGUUUUUCUUUACUCUCUAAUCCUUUCCCCGAUCCUAUUUUUAUAUUAGCAUUAAGGACAAUGUUGUUUUUUAAUAGGGGGUGGUCCAUUUUGAUUUGAUGAUUUGAUGACAUUGGCAUGUAAUAACUAUGAUACUAUUUUUCUUUAUCUUUACUUCUUUUUAUUUUUACUUUUGGUAUGUACAUAUUUGUUAUUUGAUGUAUAUAUUCAUUUUUAUUUAUGUAUAUAUUCGCUUUACUUCAAGUUUGUAUAUAUUCAGUUUGAUUUUUGUAGUUUACUUCAUAGCUUCUUAUUUCCUUUAGUAGUUUCUUUUUAAGUUGUUAGCUUCUUUUUAUGUUUUAUGUGAACAAUAAGCCUUUGGUUUUCUUAAUGCCACGGUUCUUUCCAAAGGUAGAUGUUGUGUGAACCGGGUGGCUCUUCUCGAUGAUGGAUGGCAUGACAACCUUCUUAAGGGAUUGAGCCCGUUCUUCUUUUUGCUUUGAUAUGUAGUAGUAAUGAAUAAAAGUUUCUCAAGCAUGCUUCACUUGGGCCUAACACAUUUACCUUCAACCUUAUGGUAAGAAACAAGUUGAUUGGCAACGAAUAGUUCUAGUGUGACCUUUAGGCUCUUGUGUUGACUAAAACAAUCAUCGAGUGGUUUAUUUGAGCCAUUUGUGAUGUUCAAUAUUAGCUAGGGUUGUUCUGGGCCCUUGACUCUGCCUCUUUAACAAUCUAGCAGCUUGAGAGGUGAGGUAUUGAAUUGCAAGUGCAAGUUCUGUGCCAACAAGUCUAGAACUUGCCCUGAAUGUUUGUCUUGGCGAAAUUCUAAGUGUAGCUCGACUUGAGAAAUGAUUGUAGGCUCUCCUUGAUCCAAAUUUGAAACUUGAAAGCUUCCGUAGCCUACCAAUAUGAUAUCCCUAGUCAACCCCUUUUGAGCCGAAGCCUUUUUUCUUUUAAUAACCAUGUUACAAGCCUUUAUCCGUUUUGUGAUGACCCUCUCUUAGCACUCGAUCUUUCCUUGGCACUAAUGACAUACAAGUAGCUAAAGCACAAGUUUGGGGGAGAGAUGAGGAAUGUGAAAGUGAUAAAAGGUACAAAUAACAAAAAGAAAUGAAGAAAAUGGAAGGCAAAGGAAUAGAAAGAAAAGCCAAAAAGAAAUAUGUCAAAAAGAAAGUGAAUAAGAUAGAAAAUUGAGGGAACUCAAAGAAAGCAAUGAUGAAAGACAUGGAAUGAUUAGAAAAGGAGAAAAAUGAGCGUCAUGAGCAAGAAAGAGUGACAGUGUGUCUCUCUAGUUUCCCUAAGGAUGAAGAAAAUGACUCAAAGAGUCAAGAAAGUAUGAGCCGAAAUGAGAAAAUGGAGUGCUUAAGGAAAGAUGAAACCAUUAUAUGCCAAUAAGUCCUCCCUUGAUCCAAAUAGCCUUCAUUACAUUCCCACAAAAGCCCUAUAUGAUUCCGAGUUGAGUGAGCUUACAUUAGUGGUGAUUUACAUAAGGGCAAGCUUAUGGUACUUAGAGACAGACUUGUGACAUUCCCUUGAGAGAGAUGAGCGUACUUCUCCACAAUCUUUGUUUUGAGUGCUACAAUCUAAAGUGAGAUUUGCUUAUGGAGAGUAGAGGAGGAAGUAUUUGGGUUCCACAAUGAUCUACGUAAUGGAGCGAGCUGCCUUGGUAAAUUAAGUCAACUCUUGAUGCUCUAAUGUCGCAUUAGAACUAUGGUACUCAAAAGGCUUUGUGUUGUUGAUAAUUCAAUUCUAUUGAGGGUAAUUGUUAGUCCCAAUUGAUGCAUGAUUGAUUCGCAUUAGGACAGCUGAAAUAUCCUUCUGUUUUGUUUUAGUGGAGGUGAGAAUUACCUUAUUUGCUUGAGGAUAAGCAAACACUUAAGUUUAGGGGAGUUGAUAAGUGGGGAUUUUAACCUAUUAUUUGCAAAAAUUGAUCGGCUCCAAGCCUUUAGUACUAUUGAGUAGAGAGGAAGGUCGAUGUAGUUUUACCCAACUAGGUUGGGAUCGAAUCCACAUGGAGUUAAUUUUUUUGGAAUUAGAUUUAUAUCCAAGUCUAGAAGCGGGUUUUGCUCUUAAUUACCCUUCCACAAGUGGUUGGUUUGUUUUCUACUUCUACUUCUAUUCUAUAGCAUGCAAUAUUUGAAACUAAGUAUAAUAUUUUCGUUGUUGAUUUUCAAGGGUUUUAAAGGGACUAGGGUAGUGACUUCCACCUAAGUGGAUAUCUAACGGGUAGCAAGAAUCUAGGGAAAUUAUAUGAUUAAUUGGGGUUGUAAUAUAGCUAUCACACCCGGGUACUCACUCUAUACCUCUCGGUAGUUUGAGUGAUUUUGCGCAAUUUGGCUUUCUCAAGUCCAAAUGGAUUUUCAUGCAAUUCAAGUGAUUUUAGCUCAAGUCGGGUAUUACUAUCUCUAGGCUUAACCCUUUAAUCGGGGCUAUCAAUUUCUUGAGUUCACCCCAAUUCCUUGUUAACCAAGUUUUCCUAGACUUAGUCUCUCUUUCUCAAGUAGAGUCUAAGUCAUAAAGGCAUAAAUCAGUGUUUGCAAUCACUAAUUAAUAGUUCUAGCAUGAACUAGGCUAAAUAUCACUAACCCAUAUAUAUUCAAGCCCUAAAAUUCAAAACUCAUCAAAAACCCAUAGCUAGGGUUGGGUCCAAGGCAGAACAUGGCGAAUGUCUCUUAAUAUACUUGGUUGUAUCCGACGUCGCAGUAAGCGCAGUCUUGGUCCGUAAAAAUAAAGGUACGCAAUCUCCAAUCUAUUACAUCAGGAAAAUCCUGGUCGAUGCCGAAACGAGGUAUCCCCACCUCGAAAAACUGGCUCUGGCAUUAGUUGUAGCUUUACGAAAGCUUCGACUCUAUUUUCAAUGCCACCCCAUCUCGGUGGUCACGACCUUCCCUCUAAGAAGCAUUCUACAUAAACCCGAGCUGUCGGAUAGAUUGGUCAAGUGGGCCAUCGAAUGAAGCGAGCACGAUAUAAUAGAUCAGCCGUAAACAUCGAUAAAGCCGCAAGUACUCGGCUACUUCAUCACCUACUUCAGUGCCAAAAUAAUGCCUGAGGUCGAGCGGGAAGCCUCCCGUACCUCCCUCAAGUUAUCCGACCUAUGGGUCUUGUACACCGAUGGUGCCUCCAACGUGUCAGGAUCUGGACUGGGACUAAUGCUCGAGGUCCCACCAGGCGAAGUCAUCCGCCAGUCCAUAAGAUAUCCCAACAUGACUAAAAAAGAGGCCGAGUAUGAGGCCGUAAUUGCAGGACUAAAAUUAGCUCUCAAGUAUAGAGCAUGGCGAGUCAUCCUCCAAUAUGACUCAUAACUCGUCGUCAACCAAGUCACAGGGACUUUCCAAAUCAAAGAACAAAGGCUACAAAAAUAACAGGCAAAAAUUCAUAAGCUACUGCUAGAGUUCGACGAAUGCCAACUCGACCAGAUACCUCGAUCACAAAACAUCGAAGCAGACGGCCUCGCCAAAUUAGCAGCGGCCACCAAGAACAUAAGCAGAAAAGAAAAUGUGGUCACCCUCAUUCGUUCGUCAAUAGACCAAAUUGAGGUACACAUUAUAAACUUGACUUGGGACCGGUGCAACUAUAUUAUAUCAUAUUUGCAGGACGAAGUGCUCCCACAGAACAAAAAAGAAGCCAAGAAGCUUCGAAUACAGGUGGUCAAAUACAGAAUCAUCUACCAUGACUUGUACAAAAGAACGUUUGGCGAUCCCUUGGCGAAAUGCCUAGGACCAAACCAAACUAGACGCGUCCUCGAAGAAGUACAUGAAGGCCACUGUGGAGCCCAUACCGGUAAUCGAGCCCUCGUUAGAUGCCUCAUACGGGCAGGCUAUUACUGGCCCACCAUGAAAAGGGAAGCCGCCGACUUUGUUAGAAAGUGCAAACAAUGCCAAAAAUACGCUCCAAUGAUCCACCAGGUGGCGAGCACCUCCACUCAAUCACAUCGCCUUGACCGUUCAUCAAAUGGGGGAUGGACAUCGCCGGACCCCCUCCAGCAUGAUGAGGUAAUGUACGAUUUCUCUUUGUUUUAACUGACUAUUUUUUCAAGUGGGUAGAAGCAGGUGCAUUCGCCCAAAUACGCGAAUAGGAAGUUAUCACAUUCAUAUGGAGAAACAUCAUAUGUCGUUUCGGCAUCCCCAAAGAAAUCAGUUGGGACAACGGACCGCAAUUCACCAAAAUAAAGACCGCUGAAUUCUUCGAGAAAUGGCACAUCAAGUGAAUACUCUCCACGCCAUAUCAUCCCGCAGGCAACGAUCAGGCGGAGUCCUCUAACAAAACAAUACUGAACAUCAUGAAGAAGAAGCUUGAGGACGCCAAGGGGCAGUGGCCAGAAAUGCUACUGGAAGUGCUAUGGGCAUACCGCACCAUGCUAAAAUCAAGUAUAGGAGAAAUGCCAUAUUCACUAGUCUAUGGGACUAACGCAGUGAUACCAGUCGAAGUCGGGGAACUCAGUUUGAGAUAAUCCAACAAGGGCAGACCAAGUAAUGAUGAAAGCAGAAAGCAAAACCUCGACGAAACAGAUGAGCGAAGAGACAUGGCCCUCGUAAGAAUGAUAGCUCAAAAACAGCAAGCAAAAUAGUACUACAACAAAAAAAAUAAAGUUAGACCACUCAAGGUAGGGUACUAUGUACUCGAACCCAAAAUACAAGCGAGCAAAGACCCACGAAAGGAAAACUGGGAACCAAUUGGGGCGGACCAUAAAAAAUCACGGCAACAGCAAACAAAGGGUCAUUCCAACAUGAAAUAAUGGAGGGAAAACUACUACCAAACAAUUGGAACGUCGCCACCUCAAAUACUUCAACAUCUGAAAACGAAUGUCCUCCGAGUCAUACUCUUUUUCCCUCACCCGAGUUUUGUCCCAAUUGGGUUUUCUCGGGGAGGUUUUUAAUGAGCCGAUGAAGAGGGAGUCUCGAAGUUUAGGUAUUAAUUUCAUCGCCCUGCCUAUCGACUACUUCUCUAGGCCGAGCUAUGAAGGGACUAGGUAGGCUGGGACUCCUUGAAUGUAUGUACAGUCCAAAUAGAAACAUGUAAUAUUCUCAAAUGAAAUAAACAAAGCAGUAUAUGACAUUCUUACACAACUCCACCAAAUUUAAACAUCAUGCCAAUGAAAAUGAAAUGUACAUUCGACCUCGCUCGAAUUAACUUACAUUCGACCUCAUUCAAAUUAACAAAGGAAAUGUACUUUCGAUCUCGCUCGAAUGAUUUUCUAAGCCUACAUUCGACCUCGCUCGAAUUAGUUUACAUUCGACCUCGUUCGAAUUAACAAAGGAAAUGUACAUUCGAUCUCACUCGAAUUAUUUUCUAAGUCUACAUUCAACCUCAUUCGAAUCAAUCUACAUUCUACCUCACUCGAAUUAACUUACAUUCGACGUCGUUCGAAUAAAUAUACAUUCGACCUCGCUCAAAUUAACAUACAUUCGACCUCGUUCGAAUCAAUCUACAUUUGACCUCGCACGAAUUAACUUACAUUUGACCUCGUCUGAAUCGAUCUACAUUCGACUUCAUUCGAACCAACUUACAUUGGGGACUUUCUUACAAAAGAAGACUCACGGGAAAGAAAAAAGAAAGAAAAGCCAAAAAUACACAGCAAAAGACAAUUGUUCCAUGUCAAUCAUUUCAUUCCAAUACAUUUUACAAAGGGCUUGAAAGACGCCCCCACAAAAAGAAAACAGCAUAACACAAAAAAUAAAAACCAAGUACAAAGACUUCACGCCGCAUCGUCCCCCCAUCACCGAUGUCAUUGGCAUAUUCAUUGAUGUACCAAGGGUCAGAGGCAAGCCCAUCUAAGGCGCCUUCAUCAUCGUCCCCGCUGGGCAUACUUGGAUCAUAACCAUAUGUGUCACGAGCUACACGUGCCUUGACACGAACAUCCUCAAAUUCUGCCUCGAAAAUCUUUCCAGCCGUCUUUAGAGACCUGUAUAUGUCAAGUUGGGCCUCAGCAUGAACCCACACUUCAUACAACUCCCGUGACACACCGGGAUCAGUAGAAGUAUGAGAAGUAGACGGCUAGGCCAGUUGUUACGCCUUCUCGGCUCUUAGGGCGGCAACCUGCUCAUUCAGCUCAAACAGCUCCGCCUCCAAACCCCCAAUCUGCUCUUCAAACCUUUCCUCCUUGAGCACCGAAUUUUCCGCCUCAGUAGCUCGCUCAGACCUGCAAACACGGAGGGUUCCCCCUAGGGUUGCCGCCUCCGCCACAGCGGCCAUUCUGGCUUUCUCAGCUUGGCCCAACUCUUCGAUCCUGGUACUCAACUCACCCCUCAAGUUGACAUAUCUUGUUUUGCUCUGCUCUAGCUCGACCCUUAAAGACGCCACAUGCGCCUGAAGGUCAGUAUUCUCAACCAUCACUCUCUUGCUCACCUCGAGCUCAUCCUCCUUAGCCCUCAGCGCCCCCUCAAGAACGCUACAUCUGGCGUUGGCCCUCAUAAGCUCCCCGUCCUUCUCCCUCAGCUCCUCAUCCAUCUGCUUGAGCCUAUCACGAAGCAUCUGAAACUGAUCGUCCUUGCUAAGUAAGUUGACUAACAUUUGGUGCUUAGAACGGUACUCUCUGUACUUGGAUACCAUCUUCUUGAAGAGGGUCGUCCUUCGCUCUUCCCGCCAAUCACGCUCAAUCUCCAUGAUGAGGGUUUAACACGCAAAAGAAGACAGGUCAGCAGAAGUAAACUACACAUACGAAAUGAACUAACUUAACAUGGGAAAAUCAAGCUUACUCGCAAGGCCAUACCAGAUAUACCCAAUGAUAGAUCUGCAUCCUUUAGCGUCUGCAGCAUCCUAUUCUCACAGUCCGCACACAGAGGAGCGAAGGCUGGCACUACCCGUUCCGAGUUAGCUAAGAGGUUAUAAUCUAUGAGGAUGACUAUGUGCCGAUCAGGUCUCUCCAUCUUUAUCUCCACUUGGGUGAACCUCUACCCAGAAGCCUGCAUCUCCUCAGGGUUAAUAUCAGAGCCCGACCCAUCAUCUUCUACGAGGACGGUUCUAUCCCUCCUGUUCGCUGAUGAUGAUCCGACCCAGGUUGUUCGUGCAGGCUCCCCUCUAUCGUAGGUCCCAUCAACCUCUGACGGCCUUUCCUCUAUGACUAUAGCCAGCGUGGAAGCAGCCUCAAUGCCGAGUAAGGGCGUCGCCUCCACAUCCAAAACAAUGAGCAUUUUCGGCUCGGCAUCAACAGCACUGACCCUUCCGGUCUCUACCCUCUGACUUUUCCUCGGUACCGCCUAUUCCUCAUCAUGAGACGAAUCGUCAAUUAGUUGCAAGAUAGGGUGAUCAGAGGUCUCAACCGACAUAACGGAUCGCGCUACGGCAGAGCUAGAGUUUGACCCUUUUGUACGGACUCAACCAGUACAAAUUGUAUUCCAACCACAGUGACAACCUGACGUAAUGCAGGCACCAAAGCCUUUGCCUUCUUGGAAGCUCGCCGACCUGGCAAAAAACGAAAAUCAUGUUAAAAAAAUGAAAAGACGGUGAUAAGAUAUAAUGAAGAUGAAAGGGUCGUGGAAGUGAGAAUCAGACUUACUAGUCGAAGGCUUAGGCCUGAACCGCUUGUUAAAGGAUGCCCAGUAGCGAAUUUCCACAGUAUGGGGUAAGACGCGAGUUACCUAAUCUUCAAUGUCAAGAACCAGGAAAGGUGGACGCCUAACAGCUGAAAGUAGAAAGAUAUGAGCAAGUCAGAAAUAAAAAAGAUGGGGGAUAACAAAAUAUAUAUAACAGACGGUAAAAGACCCUUGCUGUUGAAGUUCCACUGCUUGGGAAAUCCAGCUGGGUCCACCAUGGUCCUAACGAAGAAGUAACUGCAUCAGAAUCGGCGGUUCUCUUUGUCAUCCAUCCUUGUCACCAAUCCUUUAGUUCCAUGGUGGCGGAGAUGAAUCAGCGUGCCUCUAUAGAAACUAGGUGAGAAGAGAUGUAGUAGAUGACGGAUGGAGACUUCAAAGCCGGUCAACUCUACGAACUUCACCAACAUCAAAAAAUACUUUAUAUAAGUAGGGGGAAAGCUGUGUCGUGCAGACGCCAUAAAAGUAGCAGCACUCCUCAGCUAGUGGGGGAAUAGGAAGAGAGUAACCCACCAAAAAUGGGUAGGCAUAGAAAGCGCAAUAUCCAGGUUGGUGGACUUGUACCACUUCAUUACCCGCCGGAACAAUAUCGAUGUGAGCAAGGAUACGAAAUUUAGAUCGGAGAGCGGAUAUUUGUUUCGACCCCAUAUUUGAUAGUACCUGCUUAAGAGCAGGGGCGUGAUCUUUUGAGAAGUCAUUUCUGACCGACGGGUUUCGGGGAACAACCUCCUCCACGGUGGAAAAACUUUCGUCUUCCACAAUCGUGGGCUCACCGCCACCAGAAGGCAUGGCCACCGACAAUGGUGUGGCAUCGGAGAUUAUGUCAAAAGUGUGAUGGGAGUUUGUCAUUUCUGCAGUAACAUGUAUAGAGUAGAGUCAGAAGGAGAGUACAAUGGGAAAAGAAACCAGAAGAAAACAACAACAACAACAACAACCUAGUAUAAUCCCACAAGUGGGGAAAAGAAAUCAGAAGCUAGAUCUAAUAAAAGAAGGAAAUCAGAGAUAAGGGUUAAGAAGAAGCAUAAGAACAAGCAAAGUGCAAAUGGAAUAUGAAGUGCGAAAAGUUUCAUUUGUGAAUCCUCGUUCCUCUAUUAAUAGGAUAUUGUGGCGCCCAAAUCGAUGCAAGAAAUGUCAUUGACACCAAAAUCAAAGCAAUAGAGGCACUAGAAACAAUGCAUUGCACCGGGAAGAUGCGUAAUGAUGAUGCGCGUGGCCAUGAUAUCAUCCUUAUGUCAGCCACGCCAACCACAACCUUUGAUCUGAUCCGUCAUCAAUUCGACAUCGACCAAUUCAGUUCAUUCACCUCGGCGGAAUUUCUUGUGAUUAGAUGUAGAUAAAAUCUGCUUAUCGAGGAAUCCCAAGAGGACAACCCCAAUAAGUGGAGGGACUAACUGUAUGGGUCAAAAUUAGGUCGAGUUUAGUGAGUGCAACGGAUAAGCUUAGGCCGAGGUCGAAGCCAAGCACGGCCCAUUGGCGAGGAGUCUCCCAGAGAGAGAGAGAGACCAGCGCCAAGGUCGAGUAGAGAACAAACAUCAGCAAUGGAUAGAAUAUUCUUAGGAUUAUGAAUAGGAAUAUUCCAUUGAAUAUUCCCCCAAUUGUACUUUUUUAGGGUUUUCUAGAGAUAUCCCUUAUAAAUAGGAAGAGAUAGGGAACAAAAAGAGGCUUCUGGACUUUUUUGAGAGGAACAUCUUGUAAAAGGUUGACUAUCAAGAAUAUAUAAAAAAAACUUGUCUUGUCUCCUCUAUUUGAUUCUAUUGCUAGACAUUCCUCUUUUAUUCAGAAGAUCCAAGAACACUUUAUUCAUUUCCAUAGUCAGUUGUCACACACUAUAGUUAGAAGAAGGAAUCAUCCAACUCAUUCAACAUUUGGGUGACAAAUUUCUUCUUACUACAUCUAAUGCCAUUUGUCACAUUUAUUGCAUGUUUUCAUUCUCAUAUUUAUUGAUAAUCAUUGAGCAUUAACUUGGCAUUCAUUGAUUUGAACACGGUCUCGUACAAUCAAAAUUAUCGAACUUUAAAUUUAGGAUUUAUUAUAUUUAACUAGGAUUCACCCUUUAUCUACUUAUUAAAUUGGUUUAACAAAAAGGGCCUAAAACUUUUUGGUCAAACAAUAUUGUUACGCCCCGCAAUAUAACGUCGAUAUUACGUCCUGUAGUAUUAUAUUACGAUGAUGUUAUGUCCUGCAGUAUUAUAUUACGGUAAUGUUAUGCCUUGCAAUAUAACAUUACGAUGAUGUUAUGCUUUGCAGUAUUACAUUACGAUGAUGUUGCACCCUGAAGUAUUGUACGUUGAAUUUAUCGUAAGGUAAUUGACAUCAGUCCAAGAAAAAGAUUAUUUGGAGAUUAUAAGGAUUAUGCUAUUUCAAAUGAGUGAUGGGUAAAUUCAUGAAGGUGAGAAGGUAAGCAUAUCGAAGAAAAUGAAUUUCAUCGAAGUGUAACAUUUUGGGAUAAAAUAUGGCCCGAGCUAAAAUACCCGGUAUUUAUGGACUACUACCAUACAAGGUACCACAUGGCCGUGAUAGUAAGGUGUAUAAGGUAUGUUAAAAGUGGGUGGUAUUUUAAGUGAUUUGAGAUAAUUUUUAAUUAUGUGGAUAAUUGGUUAAUUAUUGGUUAAUGAGAGAUAAACAAGUUAAUCAAGUAAUUAGUGGAUAAUUAAUUCAAAUAUUUGGAUAACAAUUACAUCUCCCACAUGGCAGCAAACUCAUCAAAGAAUUGUGACUCAUAAGUCACUAUGUUAUGUGGCAAGUCUUAAGAAUGUGUGGCAUUUCCAUUUAAUAAAGGAAAGACACAUAUAACAUGAGUCAUAUCUGUUCUAUUCUUAAAGAAAGUUCUUACAUAUCCAUUCUUAAUGAAUGGUCUUAUAUCAGAAUAUUAGUGAGUGGAUAUUCAUGCAAGAAUUCAAGAAUUUAAGGAUUCAAGCAAGAAAAUUCCUUAUGCAUCUUAGCAAUGUUACUCUAAAGAAGCCCGGUAUAAUCUUUCUCGAGAAUAUUAUAUGGAUUUUUCCACUACUUCAAUUCGCCGUUACGCAUUGUCGCAAUCAACGAUGUUAAAGGGAUUAUCAAGAGAAUUAUUUCAGGUAUGUUAAGGCUAUUCCUUCUUUCCUUUUGGCAUGAUCCAUACGAUACAAAAUAAAACGAGAAAAUACACAACUUCCAUAAAUAACUCUAUUCAUAGAAGUAUUAGAAGUGCCUAUGUUCUUGAAUUCCCGUGUAUCUUGUCAUUCUAUCAUCUUUUCAUGAGUCUUAGAAAAAUAGUUGAAAAAAAAGUUUACUUCAUGAUAUUACUCAAAGGUAUAAUGGUCUUAUGACAUUCCAAGAGAUUUUAUUGACGUACUUCUCAUGCAUUGCAUUCAUGUACAUUGAACUAUGGCCAGAUGGCAUUAUAUACGUGUAUAUAUGUAUAUUAUAUAUAUGGGAUAUGGGAAAAGGUUACGGCAUUAUAUACGCACCACUACCUGAUCAGCUGGUAUACAUUGAUGAUUUGCCCACAGUGGCCGAGAUGAUAUGAUGGGAUUCCCUCAAGGGCUUGAAGAUAUUAUGAACACAUUUACCUAUACAUGACAUGAAAAUCAUACACAUAUGCAUGACACUAUAAUUAUUUCAUGAUUUACAGAGUUAUCUAGACUUAUAGGUUGAGUCAUUUACUCUAUAUUUCUUCCAUGUCUUUUAUGUACUUAUUUAUGUGCCUUACAUACUCGGUACAUUAUUCGUACUGAUGUCCCUUUUACUUGGGGACGCUGCAUUUCAUGCCCACAUGUCCCGAUAGACAGGUCGAGAGUCCUCCAGGUAGGCUAUCAGCUCAACGGAAGAUGUUGAUGCACGCCAUUUGCUCCAGAGUUGCUUGUUUGGUCAGUAUGAUUUAGACGUGUAUUGUUUGGUAUGGUGGGUCCUGACCCAACAUUUAUGAUAAGUAUGUACUCUUAGAGGCUUGUAGACGGAUGUCAUGUAUUCAGAUGCUUGUAUGGCCUUUUUGGCCUAUGUUUUGAAUUUACAAAUGAGCAUGUUGGCUUUAUAGGCCCGUAUUCACAUGUAUAAGUUUUUAUAUCAGGUUGGGUCGUCCUGUAUUGAGUAUUACAAUAUGUUUAUUCUGGCUAGCCCAUGACGGCCCAUUUGGAUCAUUUUCCAAUGAUAGUACAUUGAGAGAGAUGUCUAACAUUGGUACUCGGUUGAUUAAGGCACCGGGUGCCCAUCAUGGCCCAUCGUUUGAGUCGUGACAACGUUGGUAAUUAGUUGAGUAAGGCACCGGGUGCCUGUCGUGGCCUAUCGUUUGGGUCGUGACAAAAGUGGUAUCAAAGUAGUUCUGUCCUAGGGAGUCUACAAGUCAUGUCUAGUAGAGUCUUGUUUAUGGGUAUGUCGUGCAUCACACUUAUAAGCAGGAGGCUACAGGGCAUUUAGGACUGUCACUCUUUCUUCUUACUCUAGAUCGUGUGGUAGAGCUCGGUUGUAAGAACUCAAUUUCCUGAAUUUUAUCUUAUUCAUAAUAUGACGAUGCCUACAUCUAGAAAGACGUUUGGUAAGGGAUUUAAUGUGGAUGUGGAAGAAUUGAGUCAGAGGAACUCGAUUUUGCAUCAUGCUUGUGAUGAAUGUAAGGUCUCUAGCAGAACAUAAGGAUACUAAGACAUGCAAGCUUCUUGAUAAGGAUCUCUAUGGCAAUAAUGCCUAUCCACUUUUACGAUAACAAGGGAAAAGAGAAUCAGAAAGUAGACAUAAGUUCCAGCAAAUAACAAAAGCAAGGUGAAAAAGGGUACGAGGUACCCAGUUAAUAAAGAUUAUCGGUAUUUUCAAUUCAGGCAGAGGAAUAUAAGCCUUUUGAGUUACCUUCAACAGUAUCAGAGGUAUGUACAAUUUGCGACAUCGAUCUUAGUUAUGCCCUAUCAUAGAUAACAUAUAUAGUAUAAGAUAAAAAUGGGAUAUCAGGAUCCGGCUGAGGUUAGAGUGACCCAAAAUGGUGGAUGGAUUGUUUGCAUUAGUUGACAUUUCCUAAGCAUAUUGCAAAUGUGCUAAUAGAUCUCUUUGUGAGGCACCUAGAUGGUGCGUUCUAAAAUAGUACAGCUAAAUAUGAGUACUACAAAGAUAGGCACUGGAAGCCUUGAAGGGAUUAAUAUUACCUCAUUGUGGCUCCCAUCCCUAGUAGAGAAAGAAUGUUAGGCAACCCGAAGAGCCAGUAGAUGGAGCAAAGGGGAGCUAAAAGCAAAAAAAUAUCUUGUUGAAGUUUUCAGAAUAAGGUGAUAGACAGAAAUAUUAGCAGGGAGAUAAGAAGAGAGAUAAUGAAGCAUUAUGAGUAAGAUAUAAUACAUGGAUGACAACGGUAGAUAAAAAAAUAACAGUAUUACAGAGUCUUUAGUCAAGUGAAGGAAAAGACAAGAGGUGACAACCCUUGAGACAACAAAAGCGUAUAGGCCAUAAAGUCACAUCCUCAUUUCGAGAAAUAAGUUUGUGACUCCAACGCGACUACCAUAAGGAAAAGUUAGACCUAGAGUUAUGGAAAUCAGUGAGGGCUACUGAACAAGAUAAACUAAACAUGAGUUAGGGACUGAGUGAUUUGAUAAUAGUCGGCAUCUGAGAAUUUCAGGGAUUGCAUUCCGGCGAUAAUAGAAUGGACGACAGAAGAAUAACCUUUAAAGGUCAUUCAGGAGGACGCUUUACUAAAGAAAUAAAUAUGAGUAAAGUUAAGCUUAAGGGAAUAUAUGUGUCAGUUACACUAAGUGUUACCAUCGCGAGUAAGGAAUUUUGUUAUCCUUGGUACAGAAGGAUUACCGUAAGGCGAGUAAGGGUCAUCGAUGAUGUGAAAGGACACCAAAGAUGAAGAGGUAAAACAUCUAUAGGUAGGUCGUCGUAGCUCCAACUAUUAGUACUCCCCUAAAGGGGGAAAUAUGGAGUGAUAUGGCAUUAAGUCAGAAUUAAGUAGUUCUAGUAGCUAUGGAAUGGUAAAGGAAGAAUGUAAUAAAAAUAAAAAAGAGAUGAGAUUGCACUUGUUCAAAUCCUACCAGCAUGCUACAAUUCCAGAACAUUACGCAAACAUGACAUCAAGAAGAGGAAGUAAGGGUUCCUGCCUGAGAUGUUAUUGAUAGAUAAGGAGCCAGUGCGAGACGAAAGUGGAGAUAAAGGAAAUAACCCAAGAAACAUUAUGUGGAAUAUUGCUAUGAGAAGGGGCCAACGAGUAGUUAUUAAUUGAUUCAGGAAGGACCUAGUUAUGGCUAGACAAGAGGUUACAGACAAAUCAACAGAUCAUGCAAUAUAGACAUAGUGAACCCAACAUGGGGAAUUCAGUCUCGUAUAUAUGACAUCGUGAUCCUUGAGAAAUAUUCAGAUAGGAGUUAGGGUAGUUAAGGUACCAUAUGUAUUACGGAAAUAAAAGAGAAUGCCACUGGGAAGGUAGUCAAAAUAUCAGUUCAGAAGCAACCUUACAAGCACAAGGGCGUAGAGGUAAGUAAGUACAGAUAAUUAUAGGCAAGGAAGGACAUCAAAAAACUUCAUCGAGUAUACGAUGUAAUAAGCUCGCAUCUUUACAAGAGUCAGAGGGUCUUCUGUAAGUAUUACAAUGAAAGACUAGCUAAGGAAAUAAGGAAGAAGGAUGAAACCUAAGCACAGUGACCUAAAAAGGAAAUGGUCUUGUAACAUCAGUCUCACAACAACAUUGUAUGCACUCCAUAAGAAAGUGGCACCUACCGUGGUGUCACGCCUUGAGCCUGGGGGCGAGAUGGCACCCAGUGCCUCACUUAUCCUUGCAUACCACUUUCGACUAAGAGACUCUGAACAUGUAAUAUCAUACUUUGGCCAUGGGCCACAUUGCAAGAUAAUGUGCGAUGCAAAACAUAAAACUGAAUAGAGACUAAUGUUGACCAAAUCGUCAACAUAAAGCUGGGCCAGCAAGGCCGUCAUAAUUACUACAACUGACUAGCCAAAGAAAAUAUACGUACAAUGCCUACAAGCCCAACAUAAUUCACUAACUGACAGGAUAUAUCUACAAGUCUCUACUGAUAGAUGUACUAUGAUCGGAACAGGGGCCCGACCAACCCAUAACCUAUCUACAUAUAUACACAAGAUACAAACCAUACUUCUAGACCCGGCAACUCCGAAAGAAGGGGAGCUUACCGAUAAAGCUGAACUCGAGCAACACCUACAGAUGAGGUCUACCCGUCUAUCUGUCUCAACCUACAUGCAUGAAAUGCAGCGCCCUCAGAAAGGGAUGUUAGUACGAAAUAAUGUACCGAGUAUGUAAGGCAAUAUACUGAAGUUGAAACUGAACUGAUAAUAUAAUAACUGAAACAACUGGGAGUCAAGAAAAUUUGAAGAUAUGCUCAUCUGCUGAUACUGACUCAACUCUCUCAAUAUGAUGAGUAAAAUAGUUGUCCGGCCCUAUAAGGCUCGGUAUAUAUAUAUAUAUAUAUAACUGCUCUGUCGUAGUAGGCUCGCUUAAAAGUGGUCGGCCAUACUAGGCUCUGUAUCUCGACCAACUGGGCUUGCUCAUAAGCGCUCGGCCAUAGUAGGCUCGGUAUAUAACUUAUCAUCUGAUCAGAGGUUGUCCAAUAGAGGUCUGCCCAUCGAUUAUAGCUCGAUAGUAAUGAAAAUACUUUUAAUCCUGUAUAUAUGUAAACUCUCUGCUCUUUUGACCGGAAUAAGGAAAUACCCAACUGAAUAUGCAGUCCCGAUAAGAAGAAUAUAGUAACUUACAAAACUAGAAAAAUAUAUGUAAUUUGCGAGACUAGCAAAAUAUACAUAAAUUCCGGGAUAUGAAUUUUUCUCUAUGACUCAUUAUCAAACUUGUGUAAUGACACGAUCAUGGUAAAAUGAAGGAAAAGCUUAGCCUUAACAUACCUGUUCCCGGAAUUAUUUGAACGAAUCUGCUUCUGCGAAAUAUGGACGAAACUCACACUUGAAAUUUCGGACAACUUACUCUGCCUUUAACGUUUUUUGAAUGAAGUAUGGGAUAAGGAAUGAAUUUGUGUGACAUGCUCUUGAUCCUUCACGUUUUGGUCUUUUGACAGAAUGUAUAAGUUGUUCUUGGUCUUCAAAAUGAAAUGUUUAUCUCUUUUGAUUGAUAAAUCUUACAACAAAGUCUUGAUAAGACUUUGAAAUUUAACUUUUGACACAUGUAAAGCAUAAAUCAAUGACUCACCUCAUACAAAAAGGGGGGCUGCCAGGUUCCUUCUUAAGGGGUGAUUUUGUUAAUUUAUCCAUUUAUUAGUUAACCGAGUAAUGUUUCGUUACCCAAUAAUUAUUUUAUUACCCUCAUAAUUUAAAAAUUAUUACAAAUUACUUAAAAUUCUAUUUAUUUUCAAAAUACUUAAUAUAUACUUUAUAAAUUACACUACUGUGGUCAUAUGGUACCUUGUAUGGUACUAGUUUAUAAUUAUCGGGUAUUAUUACUCGACCCGUAUUUUAUUCCAAAUUGUUCAUUUUCAACGAAACUCGUUUUCGCCGUGUAACCCUUUAUCCUUCAUAAUACUUACUUAUCGCUUAUUAUAAAUAGCGUAAGUACGUUAACGUCAAGAUGAUCUCAUCCCCGCGUCUACGUUGGUUAACCAAAAAUGAAAUUAUAACGUACGAAAACGCGAGAUGUAACACGUGGAUAAUGAACGGGAAGUAAAAUAAAAAGAAAUACUCGAGAUCAUAUGAGUUGCACAAAAAUUCCGGCAUGCGUAGGAACUAAGACAAGCUAAGUAGGCACGCAACAAGGAGGCAGAAAGACCAGGAAAAGUAAUAGUUUACGUUUAAAGGAAGCUAAGAUGGAAUGAAAGAUAUUAUUCGAUCAAUGAUCCAAAGUUGGUUACGUUAUGAACGCACUUAAGGGUUCGGAGUUUUAUACAUGCAACAUAUACAGCCAUAGAAGAUUCUGGUAUACAUUAAAAGAAAGAAUUGAGCCCAGGUCAUAAACGAAUGAUUAAAUUGUUAAAGGAUUGUAUCAUGCAUAUUCCUCAGCGCCCAUAAAUGACUAAACAAAAUACUAUGAACCCCUGAGCGGGAGAUAAUUUAAGCCGACAUAAAGGCCAAUCAGAAGAAGGAGGAAACUAAAGAGUUACAUCAACGAAGUAAAUUAGGAAUUCGGUUAUUGGACCCAGAAAUUAUAGAAAUCGUGAUUGAGAAUAUUGCAGAAUUACUCUUAAUAUAAAAGGUACAAGGGAGAUAUUACAACAACCAUAUUCUAUAACGGCUCUACGAAAAAGCCAGUUAGAAGAAGUACUAGCCUCAUAAGAAGUCAGUAUGAAGCUCCCACCGAAUUGUGUAUGCCCAGAGGUGCAAGUAUUAUAAUAGAGCUUCAAGUUGUGAACGUGAAUUAUACCUAUGUAUAAAGGAGGUCAUGAAAGAGAUAGAAGAUACGAUGCAAGAUUUUAAGGUAAGAAAGGUAAAGGGGAACAACAUACAAGAUACUUAAAUGCAGAAGGUCGUGAAAUGUCCAUAUUGCGGAUAAAAGGCUAGAAAUGCGGGGAAUCAGUAUCCAGAAAUGAUAGCAGCGUCAUCACUGGAAUACUUCCCAACCUAUGAUUUCUAAGUACCGAAAGAUCUAAUUAGAGAGUAAAAGAAGAGUUAGAGACGAUGCGAUGUCUCGCUUGAUGUUCUAGAAAAUGCAUGGGAAUUGAUCGCAAGCUAAAAUAUGAUAAAACGACAAGGUUUUUAGAAAGACAAGAGUAAUUGAUCGCUUGAUGUUCUUUUUUUGUAUUUUUUGGAAAAUGAUGGAAAGUGCAAAAUCUUUAUGGAUUUUUCAUAUUCAAUUUUUAUUUUUGGUCUUUUCUUGAAAAAGUGUGAAAGAAAAUUAUAAUUGGGCCCUACUUUCUUUUUUUUCAUACUUCACCUUCUUUUCUUUAUCGUUUACCCUCAACCAUCAUUGGUCCACCAAAUGACCCUUUUGCCCUUUAAGAUUGCAACAUGUAGCACAUAGGAUGCAUCAGGAUGGUCUUGUAUUUUGGAUACACCUGUCCUAGACGGACCCAACCCCUGUGUUAAGUCCCUUAAGUCAAAUGCACGUGAUGCAAAUAAACGUUCCUACUAGGGAUCCGGUAUGAGAUAAUAUUAUUCUAAGUUUAAACCUGGGGUUGUGUUCUUGACCUGGCUUACCCGAGCGGACAACUCGAGCUAAAAUGGGGGCAACGUACCGAGAGCACGAAAGUCUACCCGGCCUUGUUGCUGGCCCAGUCUCGUUCUAUUUGGUAUAACUUCUAACAAAAAAAAUGGGUCACGCGAACGUGUGCACCGUUUUUUUUUUGAAGACUCAGAAGGGAGGCGUAAGAAGACAGUAUAAUACAAUUCAAAUAAUAUCAAAGUGGUAAAUAAGCGGCAAUUAGCACAUUAGGUUCACAAAUACAGUAAUAUCAACAAUAAAUAAAGCCAAGUAAAAAUCAUAUUAACAAGCUCGAAUUCUAAACCCUGAACCAGAAGUUCUGGGUUCUUAUCCCCAGCAGAGUCUCCAGAGCUGCCACACCUCCUUUUUUUUUACCCCCAAGGGGAUAUAAGUGAGUUUUUUCCAAUUUAAGUGACAAUCGAAAUGGGAUUAUCUAUAUUAAAUUCAGAGUCGCCAUUUGGGAUAAUUUAUGGUAUCCCAAGUCACUGGUUUAAAAUUCCGAAUCGAGGAAGUUGACUCUUUUUACGAUCUUAGAACACAGAAAUCUGGGUAAGGAAUUCUGUUAACCCAAGAGAAGGUGUUAGGCAUUCCCGGGUUCCAUGGUUUUAGCACGGUCGCUUUGAUCAUACUUGGCUUACUAAAUUGUUUAACUACUCAUUAUAGAACCUAUGUGUUUUCACCUCUUUUAAUUAAGAAAUUAUCUUAAAACAGGUCACGCGCACGUGUACCCAUAUGUUUUGCGCGUAAAAAAUCAUGUCACGCAUACAUGUCCACGAUCAAUCACGCUUUAUUAUUAUUAAGAAAUUUUGGUCGAAGUUGCGAGAAUGCAUGCCCUGAUUUUGUUUUUAGGAUCGCAAUUAUGUCACGCGAACGUGUACAUAAUCAAUAACAUUUUAUUACUAUUAAGGUUGUUUCGCCCAAAGUUGCGCGAGCGCAUACUUCGGUCUUAAUUUUGGAACCCAUAAUUAUGCCACUCAGAUGUUCAAAAAUACAUACUAAUAGGCACUAGCGAAUCUAUAUAGUCAAAAAUACAACUAAAAGUAAAAUGAAAUACAUCAUAUUUCAACUAAUCAAACCACUUAUUAUCAAUUGUAAAUGUCGAGGUCAUGAGCUACUGAUAUCUUACUAUAUCAUUGUCAUGCUACUUUAAUUUUGCGGUGUUAGCUUGUCACCUUUCUUCUCCGAAUAAUAAAUUCUUAAACUACAAGUAAGAGAAAAAUGGACCUCCCACAGCACAUUCAAACCAGAUUUCACUCCUAAGCCACUUUAACAUUUCCCACAGUCUUCACGUCGAAGAACGCUAGCUUGUUGGUUUUAAUCAUGAAUGAUGUCGGGUUAUAAACAACAACAAAAACUCAGUAGGCAUAAGAAAGCGACUAAAAUUGCACACAAUUGCUAGCUAGAUCUUUCCUUCUCACUCGACGCAUGAAAUAUGGACUAAGCAGACUUAAACCAACAGCGAUUUGACUAGUGUACUCAAAGAACUCUAUCAGUUCGUGACAAUUCCCAAACUAAGAAUGAAUCACCACAUAAAUAUAUAAGCAGUGCACGAGUAAUAUAAUCUCAGCAACAUUAUACAUCAAGCUAUGUGCGAAAUAAAGAUCUAAAGUAGAAAAUGAACUUUGAGUGAAGCAAUAUCAGAGUUGGAAUAUACAGAAGACCUUUAGGGAUUCGAAUAGCAGCUACUACAAUAUGAUAGAUCCACAAUGAAAAACCUCACCGGAACCACGGACAGAACUUCAUCAUGAACUCAAACCACUCAAACAAAUUCCAUUUUGGAGAAACAAAAAUCCAAAACUAGGGAGAUAAAAUAGAAUUUUUAAAUCGUACUCGUACUCGAGGCGUAAAAAUGGGGACCGGUCAGAUCUACAAUUGUUCCGGCGAACAAACAAGACCACGUCUAAAAACAGCUUUAAAGCUAAGCUGAAGAUAGCAGCAACAGUAACCAACUAAACAGUGAAAUGAAGGUGAAGCUCGACUUAAACUGAGCUUUUCAAUUAAUGAGAGCCUCCAACGUUACACAUUCGGUUUGGAUGCAAAAUUCCUAUGGCCUACGACGAUGACUAGAACCUGAACUGCGUACUCCGGUGAACUUCGGACUCUGACUUUGAAAGGACUCAAAUCCAAACCACAAAACUUAUCGGAGUUAGUGACGCUACUACCACGACGAUGAUGACACUAUUAGAUCUAAACCCGCCUGACAUAGAAGUGAAGCACACGAGAAUAGUGGUGAUGAAACAGUCCCCGGAGUAGUUUUCUGGUCAGAUCGAAACCAAAAUUUCUGGCCAGACCAUGAUUGAAAUGGCAGUAGAGGUAAAGAGAUCAGGAGUUCAGGGUUGGGGUUGUCUUUGUGUUGAACGGCUGGUUCUUCAAGAAAGGGGGUGAGAUGAAGAAGAAGAUAUUCGGAGGGGGGGUCGUUUGGUGUUCUGCGGCGGAUGUUUAUUUUCCUUUAUGUCUAGGUCUUUAAGCUAGCUCCCCUCUCUAGGUUAGAAUGUUAUCUAUAUCUAGAAUUAAUUAGGUUUUUAGGGUGUUGGGUUUAAUGGGUUUUUGGGCUUUAAAAUUGAAAUUGGGUUGGGUCCAUGUUUUAUUGGUUCUUAAUUUUGGGCUAAGAAGACUAAAAUAUAAAAAUAUAAAAUUUACUCUUAAUUAAUUAGAACACACUACUAGAAUAAAACUAGAUAUUAAAAGCAAAACUAAUUUUUUUCAAGAUUAUAUAAAAAUAAAAAUAAAGUACUAUUUUUGUAUUAUUUUUUUAAUUAAAUCUAUGAAAGAUAAACAAACUAAAAUAUUUUUUUAAUUUUUAUUUUUGUGACGAAAUAAAGUAAAAGGGUCAAAAUUAGUUGAAAUAGAGAUAUUAGGCCUAAACUAAAUAUUUACAUGCUAAAAUAUAAAAAAUCUUGGGGAGGGUCAAAAAUCACAUGUCUACAGCUGCCCACCUUUGACUGGGUACGCGAAGAGUUUUUAGACAAAGAACGACUAGACAGGUUUUUUGACCCGACCCUUAUUUAGGGAGUCAAAAAACUAAGAGGAAGGAGAAUGUGAAUGAGCCCUGGUAUCUUAGCUGCCUACAUAUCCUUGGCUAUAAAGGAAUCAAGUCACGUGUAGUUCAGAAUUAGAAAGAAUGAUGGAGUAUACCAAGAGGGAGAGCCGGUCGAGGUGUCGUUCCAUCCAGGUUCUGGUAUGUGGUCCUGUUAUUACAUCAAAAUCAAAAAAUGAAAAAGACUAACUACGUCUGUCAACUAUGAGUUACAAGAUUUCUAUCUAUAAGUCUUCUGAAGCUUGAUCUUGAGUCUUGAAUGGUUCUUCAUACAGACUUUAGAUUUGAACCUCGAUGCUUGCUAGCUGCAGGUGCUAGUUCAUUCUUCUUCGGAUCAAAACGGGACAUGCAAUGCUCGUGAUUUAAGCCAUCAUGUCUUGAGCAGUUCACAUCUUUCUAUACUUUUGCAUUUUGGAUUCACUUUUUUUUAUUCUGGAUUGUGACUAACUUCUGUUGAACAUCUCGGACUGUUGACUCACAUUCUUGCCGCGAACUUCUCCUAUUCUAACUUGAAUUGAAUUCUGAACUAUAUUCCCAUGUUCUCCAGGUGGGCGCCUGAUCGCCAAAAAUUGAACUUUAUUCCCUUGUUCUCUAGGUGGGUGCCUGAUUGCCAAAACUUGAACUGUAUUCCCUUGUUCUCCAGGUGGGCGCCUGAUUUCUAAAAACUUGAACUGUAAUUUCCUUGUUNNNNNNNNNNNNNNNNNNNNNNNNNNNNNNNNNNNNNNNNNNNNNNNNNNNNNNNNNNNNNNNNNNNNNNNNNNNNNNNNNNNNNNNNNNNNNNNNNNNNNNNNNNNNNNNNNNNNNNNNNNNNNNNNNNNNNNNNNNNNNNNNNNNNNNNNNNNNNNNNNNNNNNNNNNNNNNNNNNNNNNNNNNNNNNNNNNNNNNNNNNNNNNNNNNNNNNNNNNNNNNNNNNNNNNNNNNNNNNNNNNNNNNNNNNNNNNNNNNNNNNNNNNNNNNNNNNNNNNNNNNNNNNNNNNNNNNNNNNNNNNNNNNNNNNNNNNNNNNNNNNNNNNNNNNNNNNNNNNNNNNNNNNNNNNNNNNNNNNNNNNNNNNNNNNNNNNNNNNNNNNNNNNNNNNNNNNNNNNNNNNNNNNNNNNNNNNNNNNNNNNNNNNNNNNNNNNNNNNNNNNNNNNNNNNNNNNNNNNNNNNNNNNNNNNNNNNNNNNNNNNNNNNNNNNNNNNNNNNNNNNNNNNNNNNNNNNNNNNNNNNNNNNNNNNNNNNNNNNNNNNNNNNNNNNNNNNNNNNNNNNNNNNNNNNNNNNNNNNNNNNNNNNNNNNNNNNNNNNNNNNNNNNNNNNNNNNNNNCUUGUGAGUUUAAACAUGGUGGUUGGUUUGUGGCCUUGACUUUGAGGGCGAUUGCUCAUUCACUUCCCAUGAUAACUUUGAUUUCAACUUGAAAGGCCUUGCUUGUUUAUUGACUAACCACUUUCUCUGUCACCCUUAUCCCAGAAGAUUCCCUUGAUUCGUUCAAACCCAAACCCUCUAUCUAUUGCAUUGUGCACAUAAAUUUACAUAUACCGAACCUUUAUAUUUCACAUGAAUCCCAAAACCCAUUGAUUGUUACCAACUCAGUGCGCUAGCUGUUCUUUCCUGACGUAUGCCACUAGCCUUGGCUUUGAGGUCUGUUGCUCCUUUACUUGCCAUGAUAACUUUGAUUUCCACUUGGAAGACCUUUCUUGUUAUUGGUUAACCACUUUUUCUGUCAACCUUAUCACAGAAAAUACCUUUGAUCCGUUCAAACCCAACACCCUCUAUCUGUUGCAUUACUCAUGAAUUGACAUAUAUCGAACCUUUGUAUUUCACAUAAAUCCUCAAAGCACAUUGAUUGUUACCAACGCAGUGCGCAUGUUGUUCUUUCCUGACUUAUGCCGCUUUGAUGUGCUAGCCAGAUCCCGUUUUACGCAAUUAGAAAGCUGGUGGCAAGUUUUGAAGUCAUUUCUCACUUAUUCUGACCAAACAGACUCAGGAAGAGGAAGUAAACAAGACAAAAGGAAUAGAGUAAAGGACAAUGCAAAGAGAUGAUUCCUAACGAGAAAACUACAAAGUAGAAACUUAUCAGAUGUGGAUACCAACUCUAAUGACCAUGACAUGCACCUUUGGAUUAAGUGGCCUAAUCUGUCAAACAAGUCGGAUGUUCAACUCUUGUUAUACCCCUGAACCGUGAAACUGGGCUUCAAUGCUCCGAUUAUCCAAUCUGAUUCAUGAUCCUCAUUCGACUUGUAGUGCCCAAAGGGUUUUCACCAUCAAGCCUCUCUCAUUUUGUUCUUUCUCCCAACUCACCAUUGCCUUAUGGUGCCUGUGAAGGUUUUCACCAAUAAGACUCUCUCAUUUUGUUCUUUUCUUCUUAUUUCCUCUGAUUCUGCAGAUGACAAGGCAUUAACCAUGGUAAAAACAUUAUAUACUCUUGGCAUGUCUAAACUCAGAACUCUCAAAGAUUAUCUGGGAGGUCUUUUUUUGGACUGUAAUGUGGCUUUUGGACAUGGUUAGAAAGAAAGGAUAUCAUAAAAGCUCAAAAUAACUAAGACAAUGGGGUUAAUUUAUUUAUAACUUUUGGAAUCCAUUCUAAAAACUUUGCCCCUAUUUCUAAAACAAUGGAAUUUGAUUCUCUUUUUUCUGUUUUUCUUUUUGAUGGAGUUACUAAGAAAGACCGCCCCACUUUCGACUUCAUGAAAUUAUGAAAUAUUUUAUUUGGUAUGACCAAACCGUAAGGCUGCCUACGUAUCUUGCGGUGACAAGAAUCAGGUCAAACGUAGAUCACAAGACCACUUUUUGUGACUAUUUUCCUUUUUUUCUUUUUUUUUUCUCUUUUUCCUUCUUUUUUUUCCUUUUUUUCUCUUUUUCUUUAUCUCUAUUUUUCUUCUUCUUUUUUUUUGAAUUUUCCUUUUGGAAUGAACUUUCUAAAAUAAACCUAUGGGGACAUGAACUUUUUUUUCGUAUGACUCUAACUUGAUUCCAAAAGAGGGGAGGUUAAAGAAAUCAGUACGGGUUCAAAAGGGGACCGAAGGGUAUAAGUAUUUGGAUAGUUGAAAGAGGGCCUCCCAAUCUUUAAGAACACCAAGUAUAACACAUACAACUUGAAAUGAAAAAGGAAGAGCACACACAAUAUUUCUUUUAAAAUUUUGACAUUGAUAUCACUGAUAUGCUUUCCACUUUUCUUUUUUUAGUGCCUUGUCAAGUAUAUAACUCUCAUUGAGUGAUUUCUUCUUCACGAUGGAUACCCUCCGUCUGUUCGGAGAAAACUUUCUUGAUUUUAUUUUGUAACUUGAGAUGCAAUUGAACUCAAAGUUAUUUGCUUCAAAUUGUCCGGGAUGCACUUUCCUUUAACGAAUUAUUGUCAUCCUAUUAACUUCCCAAAUUAUCUACCCCAGUUUCACAUGGUUCGGGCUUCAAGUGAUCUCAAAAUUCCCAAAUCUGUACUUAUUUCCCUCAAGUGUCCCUAUUAUCCUCAAAAUUGUUUCAUUGAUUCAUGAUUAAACUAACUUUUAAGACCAUGCCUAGAAUUAUGUGUGCAUGUCAUGUCCUAGAGCCAGCAUGAAAAGAACUAUAAAAGAGAAGAGAACUUAACAAAAAAUGACUAGAAAUAACAGAAAAAAGAAAAUUGCAUUGGAUAGGCAGUGAAAGGGUUUGAACAACAAAACAAGCAAAAUAAACUGGGGUUACAAUCCUGGAAUAAACCUAGACAACACUAAACGAGUUACUACAACUGAACGAACUAGGAAAAAUAAAAGGAUAGAAGGGUUUGAGUCACAAGACAAUAUCUGGAUUAUAACCCUGAAAUAACCCGGUCAAUAGAAAUUACCAUAAAAUGAACCACCAAGACUCCUCCCUAGCUAGCCAAGAAAGGAGCAUCUUUCCAAUCACCAAGCUCAACAUCUUAGCCACUGAGUUCUGCAUCAACAGUACUAGGACCUUCACAAGUCUCCAUCACAUUGACCUUAGCAAAUUGCUUUUGGGUCCUUUUUGCCGGCUCGUUCUUAAGAUCAACUUCUGGAACCGAGGGUGAUAGCGGUGAAAACUUUGCGGCAAAUGGCCCUUCGAGGAUCUUAGAAGAAUUCUCAUAUUCCUUUUCAACACAAAUCAUACCCACCAUCUGCGUCUCAAUAUGAAUAGGUGAUGGACUUUGGCUAGUGUCUACUGCAUCUGGAUUUUGCACGACAAUGUCACCUGCAUUAAUAAGCUUCUGAACUGCUCUUUUCAGAUGCCAACACUUUUAUGUGAUGUGACCCGGGGCAUUAGAGCAAUAUGCGCACCUUUGAGAAUAAUCAAAAUUCUUUGGACGAGGAUUCGACAUUUUUAUCUGAAUCGGCUUCAACAUAUCCAAUUGCCUCAACUUUUGGAACAAACUGGCAUAUGAUUCUCCAAUAGGAGUGAAAGUCUUUUCUUUUUCCUGUUGCCUUUUCAUAUUGUACUCUAGCCUCGGUCGGAACCUUUUGUGGGUAGGUGGUUGAUAUGCUUGAGGAGGCGGGUAGGAUAUUUGCAGAAAUGGUGCAGGCCAUCGUGGGUCCUGUGGAUGUGGAGCAUAUAGUGGUGCAUUAUGGAUGGAGUACUGGGAAAGUGAGGUAUGACUGUGGGGAUUUUGUGGAGAGAAGUAGCAUUGGGGAGGAUUAUCUGGAUCACAGGGAUAUCCAUGGGGUCGAUACUGAGGCUAAAAGCGUUAAGCAGGAAUGCCUACUGGAUCCCGUCAUUGGCGGGGUUCAACAAUAUCUUUUCUAUUUCUCUUUGUUCCACCCAGACUUACUGAGAUGUUCUGAAUGUGUUCUGUAGUAUCUUUCAAUGCAGAAUAACUCAUGAUUUUGUCUGAUUUGAUUCCUUUCUCUACCAUCUCCCCCAUUUUUACCAUAUCAUUGAAAGGUUUACCCAAGGCCGUGAUCAAAUGACUGAAGUAGGUGGGCCCAUGGGCUUGUAGGAAAAGCUCAACCAUUUCUUCUUCACCAAUGGGGGGGCUGAAUCGAGCAGCUUGUUCCCUCCAUCUGAGCCCAAACUCCCUAAACAUUUUCUCGGGUUUCUUUUCCAUCUUAGACAGGGAGGAGCGGUCUGUGAUAAUGUCUAGAUUGUACUGAAAGUGUCAAACAAAAUCUUGAGCCAUGUCAUCUCAUACAUUCCACUUAUUGACAUCUUGAUGAGUAUACCAUUCUAAGGCUGCCCCAGUCAAGCUCUCACUGAAAUACGCCAUCAACAAAUCAUCUUUCCCGCUAACACUUCUUAUUUCACUGCAGUAACCCCUCAGAUGGGCUACUGGAUCUCCACGCCCAUCAUACCAGUUAAACUUUGGUAUUUUAAACCCCGCGGGCAGAUGAACAUCAGGGAACAUACAUAAGUCAUCGUAAAAUAUGUUAAUUUGAUUUCCCAUCCCUUGCAUGCUCCUUAAGGACUGUUCUAUACCUUUCAGCUUCCUAGAUAUCUCAUCUCACCCUUCUUUUCCUGUGAACUUUUCAUUUUCAACAUGAGGCUCAUUCCGAAAGCUAUGAUUAUAUGAGUCAGGGACCUUGUGGGCAACCUCUGAGGGGUAGUAUUGGGCCUCAAGGGGGUUGAAUUGGUGUUUAUUGUUGGACUUGAGGAGAGGUUGUUGAGAAGUUGUGAUCGUGGAGGUAGUGGAUAGGACAUAGGUAGUUGAAGGACGAGUGAUGGAGCUACUAGGGUGGUUGGGAAAGUUGUGAUAAGCGGGAGAAUCUGGAGAGUAAGGGAAAUCAUCUGGCACUAUGACCGGAGUUUGCGUAAGGGUAGCAUCUAGGAAGGUAGGUAGUGGAGGGGGUGGUGCCUUCCCAAUCAUCCCAGCCCGAUACAUGUCUGCCAUGUGUUGUCUUAAUAUCCUUACCUCUUCAACCAACCCAUUGUCAUGUUCAACCAAUUGCUUUUGGGCACCCAUAUCAACCAACUCAGUUCUGUUGUCAUCUACCAUUGCUUUUCAACUUUAUAUUGUAGAGAAAAGUUACCACUUUAAGAACCACAAACCAACCACCCUUCUGCUUUAUAACAAAAGGAACAAAAUGAGGUCAUCACGUUAGUGUUAGGGCAUUUAACGGCUAAAAAUAUCACAUUGCGUGUAAUGCACCUAGCAACAAGUAAUGGUUCAAGAAUGACUUCGAGGGUCACAAGGUCACUUGACAUCAUCCCCAUUUGUUCAAUUCAACCUUCUCUUUUCGUUGCUUUCCUAGCACUUCUUGUCUUGCUCAUUUUCCUUCCCUUUUUUUUCUUCUAAUUAUCACUUUUUCUUUUCUCUCAUUUCUCACAUCCUAUAAUUUCACCUCUUUUUUUCUCAUUUUUUACUUUUAAUUUUUUUUUUCCUUUUUUUCUUUUUCUUCUAAAUUAACAAAACUGAUUCGAUCGAACCUUAUGUAGGUUGCCUACGUAUCAUGACGCCGCAUGAAUUAGAUCUUUGCAUAGUUUGGGAAGAUCGGGAAUAAAGUAAACAAACUAACGUUCUCUUUUUCUUUUUCCCCUUUUUUUUUCUUUUUUUACCUUAAUUACUACUCUGAUGAGAAAAGAGAAAUAAAAGAAGCAAAUCCCUUUUUUUUUAAUUUUCUAGACUUAAUGUUCUAUAACCUAUUCUAAACUCAAGCUUAAUGAACAUAUAUUUCUUUUCUUUUUUUUUAUUUUGAACAAAUACUCUAUGGAAAAUUAUUAAGGGGAAAAAAUUCCUAGAAGAGAAAAAUAUUUUUUGAUUCUUUUUUUUAGGAAGGAAAUCUAAAGAAUAAACCAAAGAAAAAUAUUUUGUAUUUUCAAUUGAUAUCCCUAAAGAAAGAUUUCGAACAAGAAAUGAACAAGCUAAAAAAUAUUUUUGGAUUUCAGUUUUUGAUUACCUAAGGAAGAAACUUUAAAGAUAAACCAUAGAUAAAGUAUAUUUUUUUCUAUGUACAAGGUCCUAAAGUUCUAGUAAAAAUAAAAAGAAUAUAUUUUUUUGUUUUUUAUAUAUUUCCCAAAGAAGAACCUUAAAAGAAAAUCUUUUUGGAUUUUUGGAAUUAAUAUCUUAGAAAACUUCUAAAGAGGUAUUAAAAGAAAAUUCUCUUUUUUUUUGAAUUUUUAGUCUUAAUAAACUAAAGGAAAUAUAAAAGCAAUUUUUAUUUUGAGUUCUAGAUAUUAAUUUCCUAAGGAAAACAACAAAAGAUUUUUUUUUUGAACUUCUAGAGUUAGUAUUCUAAAUAAAACCUCUAACAGAAAUAUAAAAUCGCAAAAUCUCUUUUUUGGGAUUUUUAAUUUAUAACACAUUUUUUUUUCAAAUACAAAAUAGGAAAUACAAUAACAAAAGACUCGACAUUACUGUACAAAACUAGAAGGUAAAAGAUGACAUAAAAGAAAAACAGACUCAACACAUAAAAAAUAUCUCCUUAAGCAACUCCUGGAUGAGCGAUCCUGACUGGAUGGUCUCGGGGUUUCUGUCAUGCUCAAACUAUGGUAAAUAGACCCACACCAGUAUGAGAAAAUUAAGACCAAAUAAAGUUAAAGACCUAGAACAAUAUAUGAGACAAUAACACUCCCUAUUGGACGCAUGCAAGACCUGAUUGAGGCUAUUUUUACAAAAUGACUUACCUGGCUAAAAGUGGCUAAAAUGCAAGAUUUGGCUAAAACCCCGCGAAGUCAAGAACCUAAACUCACUAGGAAGAUCGGACCCUAUAUGGUUUGCCUACGUAUCUCGCCCUGAGAGACGAGAAUCAGGUUCGCGUAGUUCGGGCAGAUUGGAUACGGGCGAAAAUUAGGAAAACAACUAAUUUAGAGAAAAUAUAUUUUUUAUCUUUUUUUUUUUUGAAAAAUGGUGAAAAUGCAAAAUCUUUUUGGAUUUUCUUUUUCUUUUUUUUUUAAAUUUUUUGGAAAAUGAUGGAAAGUGCAAAAUCUUUAUGGAUUUUUCAUAUUCAAUUUUUUUUUUUUGGUCUUUUCUUGAAAAAGUGUGAAAGAAAAUUAUAAUUGGUCCCUACUUUCUUUAUUUUUACACUUCACCCUCUUUUCUUUCUCAUUUACCCUCAACCAUCAUUGGUCCGCCAAAUGACUCUUUUACCCUUGAAGAUUGCAACAUGUAGCACAUAGGAUGCAUCAGGAUGGUCUUGUAUUUUGGAUACAUCUGUCCUAGACGAACCUAACUCUUGUGUUGAGUCCUCUAGGUCAAAUGCAUGUGAUGCAAACAAACGUUCCUACUAGGGAUCCGGCAUGAGGUUAUAUUAUUCUAAGUUUAAAGCUGGGGUUGUGUUCUUGACCUGGCUUACCCAAGCGGACAACUCGAGCCGAAGAGGGGGCAACGUACCGGGAGCACGAAAGUCUACCUGGCUUUGUUACUGGCCCAGCCUCAUUUUAUUUGGUAUAACUUCUAACAGAAAAAGUGGGCCACGCAAACGUGAGCACCGUUUUUUUUAAGACUCAGAACGGAGGCGUAAGAAGACAAUAUAAUAUAAUUCAAAUAAUAUCAAAAUGGUAAAUAAGCGGCAAUUAGCACAUUAGGUUCACAAAUACAGUAAUAUCAACAAUAAAUAAAGCCAAGUAAAAAUCAUAUUAACAAGCUCGAAUUCUGAACCCUGAACCAGAAGUUUUGGAUUCUUAUCCCCAGCAGAGUCGCCAGAGCUAUCACACAUCCUUUUUCUAUCCCGAAGGGGAUAUAAGGGAGUUUUUUCCAAUUUAAGUGACAAUCGAAACGGAAUUAUCUAUACUAAAUUCAGAGUCGCCACUUGGGAUAAUUUAUGGUGUCCCAAGUCACCGGUUUAAAAUCCCGAAUCGAGGAAGUUGACUCUUUUUACGGUCUGCGAACACAGAAAUCCGGGUAAGAAAUUCUGUUAACCCGGGAGAAGGUGUUAGGCAUUCCCGGGUUCCGUGGUUUUAGCACAGUCGCUUUGAUCAUACUUGGCUUAUUAAAUUGUUUAACUACUCAUUUUAGAACCUAUGUGCUUUCACCUCUUUUAAUUAAGAAAUUAUCUUAAAAUAGGUCACAUGCACGUGUACCUAUUUGUUUGGCGCGUAAAAAAUUAUGCCACGCGUACAUGUCCACGAUCAAUCAUGCUUUAUUAUUAUUAAGAAAUUUUGGUCGAAGCUGCGCGAAUGCAUGCCCCAAUUUUGUUUUUAGGAUCGCAAUUAUGUCACACGAACGUGUACACAAUCAAUAACAUUUUAUUAUUAUUAAGGUUGUUUCGCCCAAAGUUGUGCGAACGCAUACUUCGGUCUUAAUUGUGGAACCCAUAAUUUUGUCACUCAGAUGUUCAAAAAUACAUACUACUAGGCACUAGCGAAUCUAUAUAGUAAAAAAUACAACUAAAAGUAAAAUGAAAUACAUCACAUUUCAACUAAUCAAACCACUUAUUAUCAAUUAUAAAUGUCGAGGUCAUGAGCUACUGAUAUCUUACUAUUUCAUUUCCAUGCUACUUUAAUUUUGCAGUGUUAGCUUGUCACCUUUCUUCUUCGAAUAAUAAAUUCUUAAACCACAAGUAAGAGAAAAAUGGGCCUCCCACAAUACAUUCAAACCAGAUUUCACUCCUAAGCCACUUCAACAUUUUCCACCAUCUUCACGUCAAAGAACGCUAUCUUGUUGGUGUUAAUAAUGAAUGAUGUCAUGAUAUAAACAACAAAAAAAACUCAGUAGGCAUGAGAAAGCGACUAAAAUUGCACACUAUUGCUAGUUAGGUCUUUCCUUCUUACUCGACGCAUGAAAUAUGGACUAAGUAGACUUAAACCAACAGCGAUUUGACUAGUGUACUCAAAGAACUCUAUCAGCUCAUGACAAUUUCCAAACUAAGAAUGAAUCACCACAUAAACAUAUAAGCAGUGCACGAAUAAUAUAAUCUCAGCAACAUUAUACAUCAAGCUAUGCUCGAAAUAAAAAUCUAAAGUAGAAAAUGAACCUUGAGUGAAGCAAUAUCAGACUUGGAAUAUACAGAGGAUCUUUAUAGAGGUUGAAAUAAUAGCUACUACAAUAUGAUAGAUCCGCAAUGAAAAACCUCAUCGGAAACACAGACGGAACUUCACCGUGAACUCACACCACUCAAACAAAUUCCAUUCCGGAGAAACGAAAAUCCGAAACUAGGGAGAUGAAACAGAAUUUUUAAAUCGUACUCGUACUCAAGGCGUAAAAAUGGGGACCGGUUAGAUCUACAAUUUUUCCGGCGAACAAACAAGACCACGUCUCAAAACAGCUUUAAAGCUAAGUUGAAGAUAGCAGCAACAGUAACCAACUAAACGCUGAAAUGAAGAUGAAGCUCGACUUAAACUGAGCUUUUCAAUUAACGAGAACCUCUAAUGUUACACAUUCGGUUUGGAUGCAAAAUUCCUAUGGCCUAUGAUGGUGACUAGAACCCAAACCGCAUACGCCGGCGAACUUCAGACUCUGACUUCGAACGGAAUCAAAUCUAGACCUUAAAACUUAUCGGAGUCAGUGACGCUACUACAACGACGAUGACGACACUGUUAGAUCUAAACCCGUCUGACAUAGAAGUGAAGUACACGAGAAUAGUGGUGAUGAAAUAUUCGCCGGAUUAGUUUUUCGGACGGAUCGAAAACAAAAUUUCCGGCCAAACCAUGAUUUAAACGGUAGUAGAGGUGAAGAGAUCAGGAGUUCAGGGUUGGGGCUUUCUUUGUGUUGAACGGCUGGUUCUUCAAGAAAGGGGUGAGAUGAAGAAGAAGAUAUUCAUGGGGUCGUUUGGUGUUCUGCGGCGGAUUUUAUUUUCCUUUAGGUCUAGGUCUUUAGCUAG
rnacentral:lncRNA from 1 species